UGGGGAAUUUUGGACAAUGGGGGCAACCCUGAUCCAGCAACGCCGCGUGAAUGAAGAAGGCCUUAGGGUUGUAAAGUUCUUUUAUCUGUGAGCAAAGCGCUGAUGUUAACAGCAUGAGUGUAUGAGAGUAGCAGAAGAAUAAGCACCGGCUAACUACGUGCCAGCAGCCGCGGUAAUACGUAGGGUGCGAGCGUUAAUCGGAAUUACUGGGCGUAAAGGGUGCGCAGGCGGAUAUGUAAGUUAGAUGUGAAAUCCCCGAGCUUAACUUGGGAAUGGCAUUUAAGACUGCAUGUCUAGAGUUUGUCAGAGGGGGGUAGAAUUCCAAGUGUAGCAGUGAAAUGCGUAGAGAUUUGGAGGAAUACCGGUGGCGAAGGCGACCCCCUGGGAUAAAACUGACGCU
rnacentral:rRNA from 1 species